rnacentral:rRNA from 1 species
GACGAACGCUGGCGGCGUGCUUAACACAUGCAAGUCGAACGGUAAGGCCCUUCGGGGUACACGAGUGGCGAACGGGUGAGUAACGCGUGGGUGAUCUGCCCUGCACUUCGGGAUAAGCCUGGGAAACUGGGUCUAAUACCGGAUAGGACCACUGCCUGCAUGGGUGGUGGUGGAAAGCUUUUGCGGUGUGGGAUGGGCCCGCGGCCUAUCAGCUUGUUGGUGGGGUGAUGGCCUACCAAGGCAACGACGGGUAGCCGGCCUGAGAGGGUGACCGGCCACACUGGGACUGAGAUACGGCCCAGACUCCUACGGGAGGCAGCAGUGGGGAAUAUUGCACAAUGGGCGCAAGCCUGAUGCAGCGACGCCGCGUGAGGGAUGACGGCCUUCGGGUUGUAAACCUCUUUCAGCACCGACGAAGCGCAAGUGACGGUAGGUGCAGAAGAAGGACCGGCCAACUACGUGCCAGCCGCCGCUGUAA